GACGAACGCUGGCGGCGUGCUUAACACAUGCCAGUCGAACGGAAAGGCCCUGCUUUUGUUGGGUGCUCGAGUGGCGAAGGGAUGGGUAACACGUGAGUAACCUGCCCUGGACUUUGGGAUAACUUCAGGAAACUGGGGCUAAUACCGGAUAGGAGCUCCUGCUGCAGUGUGGGGGUUGGAAAGUGUCGGCGGUUGGGUAUGGAGUCGCGGCGUAUCAGCUUGUUGGUGGGGUAGUGGCUUACCCAGGCUUUGACGGGUAGCCGGCCUGAGAGGGUGACCGGCCACAUUGGGACUGAAAUACGGCCCAGACUCCUAAGGGAGGCAGCAGUGGGGAAUAUUGCACAAUGGGCGGAAGCCUGAUGCAGCAACGCCGCGUGCGGGAUGACGGCCUUCGGGUUGUAAACCGCUUUCGCCUGUGACGAAGCGUGAGUGACGGUAAUGGGUAAAGAAGCACCGGCUAACUACGUG
rnacentral:rRNA from 1 species